rnacentral:lncRNA from 1 species
GAAGUAUAAUAAUAGCUACUGCUUCUUUUUGUAAAUGCAAAUAGAUUGAAACAUGUGAACACUUUUUAUUGCUUUUUCUUCAUUGACAAUUUCUUAGUUAAUUCAUAUUGAGACACAUCAGCCAAAUAUACUUAACUUAUUGUAAGGUAUUCCUUUGAUAUCCGGCAUUGAAAAUACCACAAUCAAUUUUUGUUCGAUAUCGAGAUUACUUUCUACUAUCAAGCAGACUGUCCAAACAUUUUCGUUUCAUUGGAUUACACGCUGCAGAAUAAAUUAAAAUGAAAAAUUUAGAACUUUGUUUGAGUGGAAGCACUUUUAUGGUUAAAUAUGUCAAAGAUAUGAUGAGUUCAAAGUGUGUAACCUAAUGUGUUUAAUGAUUAAAUGAAUAAAUAAACUCAGCAUAGUUACCAGGACUAAAUUUUUUACAUACGCCAGACGCGCGUUUCGUCUACAAAAGACUCAUCAGUGACGCUCGAAUCCAAAAAAGUUUAAA